rnacentral:rRNA from 1 species
AACGAACGCUGGCGGCAUGCCUAACACAUGCAAGUCGAACGAGACCUUCGGGUCUAGUGGCGCACGGGUGCGUAACGCGUGGGAAUCUGCCCUUGGGUUCGGAAUAACAGUUGGAAACGACUGCUAAUACCGGAUGAUGACGUAAGUCCAAAGAUUUAUCGCCCAGGGAUGAGCCCGCGUAGGAUUAGCUAGUUGGUGGGGUAAAGGCCUACCAAGGCGACGAUCCUUAGCUGGUCUGAGAGGAUGAUCAGCCACACUGGGACUGAGACACGGCCCAGACUCCUACGGGAGGCAGCAGUGGGGAAUAUUGGACAAUGGGCGAGAGCCUGAUCCAGCAAUGCCGCGUGAGUGAUGAAGGCCUUAGGGUUGUAAAGCUCUUUUACCCGGGAUGAUAAUGACAGUACCGGGAGAAUAAGCCCCGGCUAACUCCGUG